rnacentral:rRNA from 1 species
AUUGAACGCUGGCGGCAGGCCUAACACAUGCAAGUCGAACGAGUGGCGGACGGGUGAGUAAUGUCUGGGUAACUGCCCGAUGGAGGGGGAUAACUACUGGAAACGGUAGCUAAUAACGCAUACCAUCGGAUGUGCCCAGCUGGGAUUAGCUAGUGGGUGGGGUAAUGGCUCACCUAGGCGACGAUCCCUAGCUGGGCUGAGAGGAUGACCAGCCACACUGGAACUGAGACGAGGGCCAGACUCCUACGGGAGGCAGCAGUGGGGAAUAUUGCACAAUGGGCGCAAGCCUGAUGCAGCCAUGCCGCGUGUAUGAAGAAGGCCUUCGGGUUGUAAAGUACUUUCAGCGAGGAGGCGUUACUCGCAGAAGAAGCACCGGCUAACUCCGUGCCAGCAGCCGCGGUAAUUC